rnacentral:lncRNA from 1 species
AUCACAAACAUCAUACCAUGACCCAUUCUGUUAUUCACCAAGGAUUCAUUCAAAACAAUCUUUCUGUGCCGGUUGGGCGGUCCCACAUGUGGUUUUCCAUGUGUUGCUUUGCAUGAAAUGAAUUGUGCUAAUGUCAAAAGGACUCCAUUGUCAGAAAAGCAAGUAGACACAUGGAAUUGUGAAAAUAUGGCAACGAAACAAACAUCCGAAAUCAGACUCAAGAAAAAGAAGAAAUGUGAUGCCUUUGUAUUGGACGUCUUCGAGGAUGAAUCUAGCUCAAAAGGUUUGGCUGAAAAGGCUGAAUUGCAAGCAAACACAAACGGCUUUGGAGAUGCCAAACCGACUGAUGGUAAUGAUGGUGAACAAAAAAAAAAA